GUACCUUUCUCGGUCUGUUGGCUACGUUCAAGUGUAGUAUCUGUUCUUAUCAGAUUAGUGUAUAAUAUGUGGGCCAUCGGCCCACUUGAUGUUAAUCUUACUUUUUUAUAGAGAAAAGCCCAUCAUAAUAGCUUGCUAUUGGGGCCUUUGAGUAUUGCCUUGUGUUGCACUUGGCCUGACACACCCCUU
rfam:Helianthus annuus linkage group 9, whole genome shotgun sequence.